AGUCAUUAAGUUGGUGCAGCCAACAACAUACUUCCCUUUAUAAUCAAUAACAACAAAACAACAGACAAGCAGACAACGCGAAACUGUUGAUGAAAUUUCCAGGUGCGUUCUUAAACCUGCAAAUGCAACAAAGUUUGUACGCAAUUAAUAAAUGUGGUUUUUCCUUUUUGUGCAGCAUCACUAUAAUUCUCUAAAUACAAAAUAAUAAAUAUCAUAA